ensembl:lncRNA
GCUGCACGCACCAAAAACCCACCAGCUUUUCAUGCUUUUAAAAGUGUCAUUUUAUUCAAAGCAAUCAGAAGGUGGUUUUGUUGGUGUCCCUGGGGGUUUCUGGCUGAGGCAGCUGGGACGAUGCUCUGCACAUCACAGGCUGCUGCUGACUGCGCUGCAUUGCCUUUUGCGGAAGUUCCUUUGCUUUCAUUUUACCUACGUGCACUGCAGGCUGAUGGAUGAAAGUGAACUGGGUAUUUUUGUUGCUUUUCACCCUUCUAAAAUUAGUAAGUGCCUCAGUGCCGCCCUGGGAAUACAUUCACUUGAUGCAAUAUAACAUGCAAGCAGGCAAAACUUGUCAUUGCAAGGAAACCUUUCUCCAAGUCCCAUCUACACAUGUACUUCUGCCAGUUACUACUUUGUGUAAGCUCUGCCUAGGAUUGCUACCAAAGCAGCCAAAUUGCUGUGGGCUUCACUGGGAUAUAUGCGAUGACAGAGGCAUGCAGAUGUUAUGCAUUAGCUGAGCUCCUUCUCCUUCUUCUUAAAUGGGAUAAAAGAAGCAUGCUGUCUUCCAAAGGCCAGGAUGCCAUUGACCUCCUUGCCCAUCUGGGCACACUGCUGGAAAGCACAGUGCUGUAGAAGAGUCCAAGCAUCCUGCCUGCUGCCCUGCCUCCUCCACUUUCAGAAGCCAACAUCCAGCUCCUUGGCAGGCACCCCAGAACCAAGACCUGGCUGCUUAUAAACGUGCAUGGAAGAGACCAUAUAGGUGGAGAAAAGUCAUAGAAUGGCUUGAGUUGGAAAGGACUUUAAAGACCAUCUAGCUUCAACACCCUGCUGUGGGCAAGCAAGCGUGUUGCAUCCCAUACAACUGUGAAGUACCAAUUUUAAAUAUUUUCCUAGCACUGGUUCAUAAAUGCAAUGUGUAGCAUAAAAAUGUGUCUGCAAAGAACAGAUCAGGCAGUUUCAAUCCUUCAGUCCAUACUUUACUUAUGCCCUAUCCCCGUGCCUGUGCUCUGGUGGUGGUGUCACUGUCCCUGGAGGUGUUCAAGAAAAGGACAGAUGUGGCACUGAGGGACAUGGUUAGUGGGCAUGGUAGGGAUGGGCUGACGAUCGGAGUAGAUAAACUUAGAAGUCUUUUCCAAGCUGAAUGAUUCUAUGAUUCUCCCACCAUCACCCACAAGCAUCCAGUCCUGUGGAGCAUCUCCAACACAUACAGAGCAAAAUCUGGCUCAAAUGUGAGUUAUGAGACAUGUAGCAUCCCCCAAAAGUCAACAGGGCCACUCCACCCAUCUCUCUUUUUCCCAGUAUGUCAGGGAGGAAAGGGGUAGCUUUUCAGUUUGAUUCAGCUGGAAACCUCCUGUCCAAGGGUGUUUAGGACUUGAUGUGGGUUGAAACAGCAUGUGCUGCUCUGCCAUGUCCUGGGGAAGCUGGGAACUGAGUUGCAGAGCUGGCCCCAGCCUCAGCUUCCUGCCGGAGGUGAAGGAAAUAAAAGUACAUCCAAAACACGAAGUCCCAAGGUCGCCAGCAAAACUGUCCCUGUGUUUCUGGACUAUAAUAACCAGGGGGAAAAAAAAGAGAUCUCUUCCUCUGUUUUACUCAGCCCUGACCCAGGGAUGCCUGAGGAGAGUUUUUAG